rnacentral:rRNA from 1 species
ACGAACGCUGGCGGCGUGCUUCACCCAUGCCAGUCGAACGGUGAAGCGCCUUCCUUUUUGGUGGGUGUGGAUGAGUGGCGAACGGGUGAGUAACACGUGAGUAACCUGCCCCCUUCUUCUGGAUAACCGCAUGAAAGUGUGGCUAAUACGGAAUAUUCUGGGUCUGUCGCAUGAUGGGUCUGGGAAAGAUAUUGUUUCGGUGGGGGAUGGGCUCGCGGCCUAUCAGCUUGUUGGUGGGGUGAUGGCCUACCAAGGCGGUGACGGGUAGCCGGCCUGAGAGGGUGGACGGUCACACUGGGACUGAGACACGGCCCAGACUCCUACGGGAGGCAGCAGUGGGGAAUAUUGCACAAUGGGCGCAAGCCUGAUGCAGCGACGCCGCGUGAGGGAUGGAGGCCUUCGGGUUGUGAACCUCUUUCGCCAGUGAAGCAGGCCUGCCUCGUUUGUGGGUGGGUUGACGGUAGCUGGAGAAGAAGCGCCGGCUAACUACGUG